UGGGGAAUAUUGGACAAUGGGGGCAACCCUGAUCCAGCGACGCCGCGUGUGUGAAGAAGGCCUGCGGGUUGUAAAGCACUUUUAGUGGGGAUGAAAAGCACAUUGCUAAUACCAGUGUGUCUUGACCUAACCCAAAGAAAAAGCACCGGCUAACUCUGUGCCAGCAGCCGCGGUAAUACAGAGGGUGCGAGCGUUAAUCGGAAUUACUGGGCGUAAAGCGUGCGUAGACGGUUAUUUAAGUCGGAUGUGAAAGCCCCGGGCUCAACCUGGGAAUUGCAUUCGAGACUGAAUAGCUAGGGUGCGGUAGAGGGAAGCGGAAUUUCCGGUGUAGCGGUGAAUGCGUAGAUAUCGGAAGGAACAUCAGUGGCGAAAGCGGCUUCCUGGACCAGCACCGACGUUCAGGCACGAAAGCGUGGGGAGCAAACAGGAUUAGAUACCCUGGUAGUCCACGCCAUAAACGAUGAGGACUAGACGUUGGAGGGGUAAGCCUUUCAGUGUCGUAGCUAACG
rnacentral:rRNA from 1 species